GACGUAGGGCGCGAGCGUUGUCCGGAUUUACUGGGCGUAAAGAGCGUGUAGGCGGCUUGGUAGGUCCGCUGUGAAAACUCGAGGCUCAACCUCGAGAUGUCGGCGGAAACCACUUGGCUAGAGUCCGGAAGAGGAGAGUGGAAUUCCCGGUGUAGAGGUGAAAUUCGUAGAUAUCGGGAGGAACACCUGUGGCGAAGGCGGCCAUCUGGACGUCAACUGACGCUGAGGCGCGAAAGCGUGGGGAGCAAACGGG
rnacentral:rRNA from 1 species